UACGUAGGGUACGAGCGUUGUCCGGAAUUAUUGGGCGUAAAGAGCUCGUAGGCGGUUUGUCGCGUCUGCCGUGAAAGUCCGGGGCUUAACCCCGGAUCUGCGGUGGGUACGGGCAGACUAGAGUGCAGUAGGGGAGACUGGAAUUCCUGGUGUAGCGGUGAAAUGCGCAGAUAUCAGGGGGAACACCAGUGGCGAAGGCGGCUCUCUGGUCUGUAACUGACGCUGAUGUGCGAAAGCGUGGGGAUCAAACAGG
rnacentral:rRNA from 1 species